rnacentral:rRNA from 1 species
UACGUAGGCAGCGAGCGUUGUUCGGAGUUACUGGGCGUAAAGAGUGCGUAGGCGGUUUUCUAAGUUUGGUGUGAAAUCUCCCGGCUUAACUGGGAGGGUGCGUCGAAAACUGGAAGGCUUGAGUAUGGGAGAGGUAAGCGGAAUUCCUGGUGUAGCGGUGAAAUGCGUAGAUAUCAGGAGGAACACCUGCGGUGUAGACGGCUUACUGGACCAUAACUGACGCUGAGGCACGAAAGCGUGGGUAGCAAACAGG